GAAAUGCGAUAAGUAAUGUGAAUUGCAGAAUUCAGUGAAUCAUCGAAUCUUUGAACGCAUCUUGCGCUCCUUGGUAUUCCGAGGAGCAUGCCUGUUUGAGUGUCAUUAAAUUCUCAACUCUCUUAUGCUGUUUUGUAUAGGAGAGCUUGGAUUGUGGAGGCUUGCUGGCCGCUCGUUUGAGGUCAGCUCCUCUGAAAUACAUUAGCGGAACCUAUUGCGAUCUGCCACAAGUGUGAUAAGUUAUCUACACUGGCGAGGGGAUUGCUCUCUGUGUUGUUCAGCUUCUAAUUGUCUCUACUUUGUGAGACUACUUCUUGAAUACUUGACCUCAAAUCAGGUAGGACUACCCGCUGAACUUAA
rnacentral:rRNA from 1 species